AUUGCCACAGAGACCAUCUAGCUAUCAAAACUUAACGUGUGGCCCUUUGUAGAAACGCUGCUGACCACUGCAAGAAGAUAUUCUUCCAGUCUCAAGAAUUGCACGGUGCCCCCGGCCACCCCCACCAGAUAAGAGGGGCAGAAGUCAGCACCGCCCCAAGGUGGUGUUGCCAGGACUCUCAUUGCUGACCCCACUUCUGCUCCAGGUGAUUUGUCUUCUUGAUUUCAUCAGCUCUAAGGCAGGGCUCACAACUGUGACAAAUGGAUAGAACAACGGCCGUGAGAUUGCCAUGAGAGCCGUGGAGUACCGUCCAAUCUUAUGACUGCUAUUUUCAUGAGUUUCCACAUCUGUCAAGUUACGAUAAUUAUGCUUUUCUACUGAAGUUAAGGAAGAGACAUGCACAGCCUCCGGGGCAGUGCCGACCACAUUGUAAAUGCUGAAUAAAUAAAUGAUAACUCUCAGCUGUGGCCUGGUUACAGGAACAAGCCCCAGGUCCCUGCAUCCUGCAAUGAACCGAACCUUGGUCCACAAUUGGAACAGCCCCAGUCCCGGGCUGGGUAGAAAAGUAUUUAAGGCUACCAGCCCAGUG